ACCAAAAGUAUGAGGCAGCUAUCAGUAGUGACUCAUUUCUCUCCAUAUCGGCAAGAGACAAUCUAAUGCACUGAUCUAAUUUCCGUUCAACCCAUUGGACUUCAUUUGAGUUACUGACACUCAGGAACCAAUCCUUCCAUCCCUUGGUAGGACUGGGCCAGGAACGGAAGGCAUCUUUCCAUAGAUCUAGAGAAAAAUUCUCGGCUCUAAAGGGGAUUCUGUUUAUUUCUGCGUUUAUAAGAUCGGUGGGAUCUAAGUUUCCUAGUAGACCAAGGCAUUGGAGAUGGGGUUGAUCGGUAGGGAUUGCGAUCUUGUUGGCCAAAUCCUAAAGAUUGUAAGGAUAAAAGAAAAAGUAAAAAGAAGAAAAAAGGGGAAUAUUCAGUAAAAGGAAUUGCGGAUGAACAAAAGUACAGCAUGAGUACGAAAAAAGAAGAGGGGUAAGCUAACCUCAGGGACGACGAAGUUGACGGCCAUUGCUCCGCGGGGAAGAAGAUCGAAAACUUGAGGGUUGGUGGAGAAAGUUCUUGCUGGAGUUCUUGGAGCUAUCGAACAGUGCCGCCGUCAAGAAAGC
rnacentral:lncRNA from 1 species